UUGGAUCAGUGAUAAGGCUCUGGAAUGAGUACUGGGCACAGCACCCAAGCCAUUCUGUGGAAACAGUCCUUGCUGCCUUCCUUCUGAGAACAGC